AGAAUCAACGCUGGCGGCGUGCCUAACACAUGCAAGUCGAACGAGAAAGUGGAGCAAUCCAUGAGUACAGUGGCGUACGGGUGAGUAACACGUGACUAACCUACCCUCGAGUGGGGAAUAACCUCGGGAAACCGGGGCUAAUACCGCAUAAUAUCUUCGGAUCAAAUGCGUAAGCAGCUUGAGGAGGGGGUCGCGGCCGAUUAGCUAGUUGGCGGGGUAAUGGCCCACCAAGGCAAUGAUCGGUAGCCGGCCUGAGAGGGCGCACGGCCACACUGGAACUGAAACACGGUCCAGACUCCUACGGGAGGCAGCAGUGGGGAAUUUUGCGCAAUGGGGGAAACCCUGACGCAGCAACGCCGCGUGGAGGAUGAAGCCCCGUUGGGGUGUAAACUCCUUUCGAUCGGGACGAUUAUGACGGUACCGGAUGAAGAAGCACCGGCUAACUCUGCGCCAGCAGCCGC
rnacentral:rRNA from 1 species